rnacentral:tRNA from 1 species
AAGGAUUUAGCUUAAUUAAAGCGUUUGGUUUGCGUCCAGUUGAUGUGAGAUAUAGUCUUGCAGUCCUUA